ensembl:lncRNA
CCGAGGAGGGAGAAAGGCAGAAGGGAGAGGAGGGCGGAGAGGCCACUGAGGAGUCGUCCGCCAGAGCCCACACCUCCCGACGCCUGGAGGCUGCCCAGAGAUGACGCCACCACCCUGUCACAGCGGCAGAGACAGCAGCGAUGGAGACCUAUAUGGCAGAAUCCCUGCGGCAGGGGCAGAUCCGCCGUUCCACCUCGCUCGCCUCCUCGAGUUUCUUUUUCGUGAGGAAGAAGGAUGGGGGUUUGCGUCCAUGCAUUGACUACAGAGCGUUAAACAAAAUGAUGGUCCGGUACUCAUAUCCUAUGCCCAUGAUGUCCGUGACCGUCUCAUCUACUGGGCCCACACGUCCCCUUCCACGGGUCACCCGGGCAUAGACUGUACUGUGUGCUGCCUUACUGAAAAGUACUGGUGGCCUGGUCUGGCCAAGGAUGUGAGGGCGUACGUGUCCACCUUCCGGCGGGCAAUACCACGAACCUGGUUGUUUUGGACCGGUUUUCAAGGGCCUGCCGGUUCCUUCCCCUCCCCGGUCUCCCGACGGCUCUGCAGACCGCGGAAGCGCUGUUCACCCAUGUCUUCUGGCACUACGGGGUUCCGGAGGACACUGUCUCUGACCGGGGUCCCCAGUUUACAUCUAGGGUUUGGAAGGCCGUUAUGGACCGGUUGGGGGUCUCGGUCAGCCUCACCUCCGGGUUCCACCUCGAAGCUAAUGGGCAGGUGGAGCAUGUGAACCAGGACCUGGGGAGGUUCUUGUGAUCCUAUUGCCAGGACCGGCCGGGGGAGUAGUUGGAGUUCCUGCCCUGGGCAGAGUAUGCCCAGAAUUCGCUCUGCCACUCCUUCACUUCCUUGACCCCCUUUCAAUGUGUCCUAGAGUACCAGCCGGUCUUGGCACCGGGGCAGAGCCAGCACGAGACCGGGGCUCCGGCGGUGGACGAUGGCUCUGCUGAGCUCAAUUUGAGGCGUCGGGGGAGGGGCCCUGCAGUACCUGGUGAAGUGGGAGGGGUAGGGCCCGGAGGAGCAUUGCUGGGUGCCGGCGGUGGAUAUUCUCGAUCCGGAGCUCCUCACCGACUUCCAUCGUCGGCGCCCUAAUCGUCCUGCGCGGUGUCCUCCGGGUCUGCUGCUAGAGCUGCGCGUCGGGGUACUGUAAUGAGGACUCACGUGGGAGACUGAACAUAUUAAUAUACAGUGGGGAGAACAAGUAUUUGAUACACUGCCGAUUUUGCAGGUUUUCCUACUUACAAAGCAUGUAGAAGUCUGUAAUUUUUAU